AUACAGAUUGGUAAGCCUGACCAGA
rnacentral:piRNA from 1 species